AUUGAACGCUGGCGGCAGGCCUAACACAUGCAAGUCGAGCGGAUGAAGGGAGCUUGCUCCUGGAUUCAGCGGCGGACGGGUGAGUAAUGCCUAGGAAUCUGCCUGGUAGCGGGGGAUAACGUCCGGAAACGGGCGCUAAUACCGCAUACGUCCUGAGGGAGAAAGUGGGGGAUCUUCGGACCUCACGCUAUCAGAUGAGCCUAGGUCGGAUUAGCUAGUUGGUGGGGUAAAGGCCUACCAAGGCGACGAUCCGUAACUGGUCUGAGAGGAUGAUCAGUCACACUGGAACUGAGGCACGGUCCAGACUCCUACGGGAGGCAGCAGUGGGGAAUAUUGGACAAUGGGCGAAAGCCUGAUCCAGCCAUGCCGCGUGUGUGAAGAAGGUCUUCGGAUUGUAAAGCACUUUAAGUUGGGAGGAAGGGCAGUAAGUUAAUACCUUGCUGUUUUGACGUUACCAACAGAAUAAGCACCGGCUAACUUCGUG
rnacentral:rRNA from 1 species